UACGUAGGGAGCAAGCGUUGUUCGGAUUUACUGGGCGUAAAGGGCGCGUAGGCGGCGCUGUAAGUCACUUGUGAAAUCUCUGAGCUUAACUCAGAACGGCCAAGUGAUACUGCAGUGCUAGAGUGCAGAAGGGGCAAUCGGAAUUCUUGGUGUAGCGGUGAAAUGCGUAGAUAUCAAGAGGAACACCUGAGGUGAAGACGGGUUGCUGGGCUGACACUGACGCUGAGGCGCGAAAGCGUGGGGAGCGAACAGG
rnacentral:rRNA from 1 species